CCUACGGGUGGCAGCAGUGAGGAAUAGUGGUCAAUGGACGCAAGUCUGAACCAGCCAUGCCGCGUGCAGGAAGACGGCUCUAUGAGUUGUAAACUGCUUUUGUAAGAGGGUAAACGCAGACACGCGUAGCUGUCUGAAAGUAUCGUACGAAUAAGGAUCGGCUAACUCCGUGCCAGCAGCCGCGGUAAUACGGAGGAUUCAAGCGUUAUCCGGAUUUAUUGGGUUUAAAGGGUGCGUAGGCGGUCGGAUAAGUUAGAGGUGAAAGCCCGCGGCUCAACGUCGGAAUUGCCUCUGAUACUGUUCGUCUUGAGUGUAGUUGCGGUAGGCGGAAU
rnacentral:rRNA from 1 species